rnacentral:rRNA from 1 species
UGGGGAAUCUUGGACAAUGGGCGCAAGCCUGAUCCAGCAAUGCCGCGUGAGUGAUGAAGGCCUUAGGGUUGUAAAGCUCUUUUACCAAGGAUGAUAAUGACAGUACCUGGAGAAUAAGCUCCGGCUAACUCCGUGCCAGCAGCCGCGGUAAUACGGAGGGAGCUAGCGUUGUUCGGAAUUACUGGGCGUAAAGCGUACGUAGGCGGUGACUCAAGUCAGAGGUGAAAGCCUGGAGCUCAACUCCAGAACUGCCUUUGAAGCUAGGUCGCUAGAAUCACGGAGAGGUGAGUGGAAUUCCGAGUGUAGAGGUGAAAUUCGUAGAUAUUCGGAAGAACACCAGUGGCGAAGGCGGCUCACUGGACGUGUAUUGACGCUGAGGUACGAAAGCGUGGGGAGCAAACAGGAUUAGAUACCCCAGUAGUCCCUGAGCGGGCUGGCAAGGCGCAU